rnacentral:rRNA from 2 species
AGAGUUUGAUCCUGGCUCAGGAUGAACGCUGGCGGCGUGCCUAAUACAUGCAAGUCGAGCGAACGGACGAGAAGCUUGCUUCUCUGAUGUUAGCGGCGGACGGGUGAGUAACACGUGGAUAACCUACCUAUAAGACUGGGAUAACUUCGGGAAACCGGAGCUAAUACCGGAUAAUAUUUUGAACCGCAUGGUUCAAAAGUGAAAGACGGUCUUGCUGUCACUUAUAGAUGGAUCCGCGCUGCAUUAGCUAGUUGGUAAGGUAACGGCUUACCAAGGCAACGAUGCAUAGCCGACCUGAGAGGGUGAUCGGCCACACUGGAACUGAGACACGGUCCAGACUCCUACGGGAGGCAGCAGUAGGGAAUCUUCCGCAAUGGGCGAAAGCCUGACGGAGCAACGCCGCGUGAGUGAUGAAGGUCUUCGGAUCGUAAAACUCUGUUAUUAGGGAAGAACAUAUGUGUAAGUAACUGUGCACAUCUUGACGGUACCUAAUCAGAAAGCCACGGCUAACUACGUGCCAGCAGCCGCGGUAAUACGUAGGUGGCAAGCGUUAUCCGGAAUUAUUGGGCGUAAAGCGCGCGUAGGCGGUUUUUUAAGUCUGAUGUGAAAGCCCACGGCUCAACCGUGGAGGGUCAUUGGAAACUGGAAAACUUGAGUGCAGAAGAGGAAAGUGGAAUUCCAUGUGUAGCGGUGAAAUGCGCAGAGAUAUGGAGGAACACCAGUGGCGAAGGCGACUUUCUGGUCUGUAACUGACGCUGAUGUGCGAAAGCGUGGGGAUCAAACAGGAUUAGAUACCCUGGUAGUCCACGCCGUAAACGAUGAGUGCUAAGUGUUAGGGGGUUUCCGCCCCUUAGUGCUGCAGCUAACGCAUUAAGCACUCCGCCUGGGGAGUACGACCGCAAGGUUGAAACUCAAAGGAAUUGACGGGGACCCGCACAAGCGGUGGAGCAUGUGGUUUAAUUCGAAGCAACGCGAAGAACCUUACCAAAUCUUGACAUCCUUUGACAACUCUAGAGAUAGAGCCUUCCUCUUCGGGGGACAAAGUGACAGGUGGUGCAUGGUUGUCGUCAGCUCGUGUCGUGAGAUGUUGGGUUAAGUCCCGCAACGAGCGCAACCCUUAAGCUUAGUUGCCAUCAUUAAGUUGGGCACUCUAAGUUGACUGCCGGUGACAAACCGGAGGAAGGUGGGGAUGACGUCAAAUCAUCAUGCCCCUUAUGAUUUGGGCUACACACGUGCUACAAUGGACAAUACAAAGGGCAGCGAAACCGCGAGGUCAAGCAAAUCCCAUAAAGUUGUUCUCAGUUCGGAUUGUAGUCUGCAACUCGACUACAUGAAGCUGGAAUCGCUAGUAAUCGUAGAUCAGCAUGCUACGGUGAAUACGUUCCCGGGUCUUGUACACACCGCCCGUCACACCACGAGAGUUUGUAACACCCGAAGCCGGUGGAGUAACCUUUUAGGAGCUAGCCGUCGAAGGUGGGACAAAUGAUUGGGGUGAAGUCGUAACAAGGUAGCCGUAUCGGAAGGUGCGGCUGGAUCACCUCCUUU